ensembl:lncRNA
AUGAUCUUUCAGGCGAAGAAAAGGAGUUGUGUGGUUUUGUCAUUGCUAUUUAUUGGAGUGAGCCUGGGAAAAUCACAAGAAGGGAAAGAUUCCUGCAGAUCAAGAAUUCUGAUGAUGAUCACUUCUGGAAGAAAGAGGCAGUCCUUAAGAUAUCCUGGAACAAAGGCAUUGGGGCUUGAAUAGGUGCAUCUGAUGAGAAUAAAGGCACCCUCAGUGACAGUCUGUGGAGUUUCCAGUGCCUUCAGCAAGGUGCCAGGCUUCAAUAGGAGGGACCUGCUCUCUUUACCUUUGGCCUGAUCACCUUGGGCAUUAGGUGCCCCAGAGGCCCCUCUACCAGAGAAAGUGAGCAAGGAAAACUUUCAUCUGUCUCUGGAAUCAUCCACAACCAGCAACUUCAAGAACAAUAAGUUACCUUCAAACUUUAAGUAUGGACUUUGUUGUGGGGAAAUCAAGAUAGUGCCUGGGUGGAAGUAGGCCCAAUUAAUAAAUUGUUAUCAUUUCUUGAAAGCAAUAGCAUGGACAUUGAUUCUGUGGGGUUCCUUGCUCAAAUAGGAAGGCAAUUCAGCAUAGCCCAAGCUGAUAGAAAGUCGGGACAUGUUAGCACUAAAGACAUUUAAAGCAGCUUGAGUGCGACAGCACAACCCCCGUAUCCUUAGACUAAAUAUCCAUAUUUUCACCGGCUCAAAUUCACAUGAAAUUGAUGUUUAAAAUGCUUAUUUAAUGUGAAUUUGAAAGCCACACUGGGAGCCAAAAUCCUGCCUUUUUGGUGAGAGGUGGCCAGACACCCACCCAUGCUGAACUACCAUUGGAAUGGGUGGGCAUGCCCCCUGCUUUAAAGUCCUGGUGUGAUAACAUUUUUAGUACAAUGUGGAUGGGGCCUUACUCACACUCCAAAAUUAUCCCUCUUCAAACAUGUUCAUGAGCCUCUCUAUGUCAUCCAGUGCAAUUCUAUGGGAUGUUUUCAGCCCAAGUAUCCAUGCAGUCAUGCCAGCCACAUGACCUUGGAGGUAUCUAUGGACAAUGCUGGCUCUUUGGCUUAGAAAUGGAGAUGUGCACCAAUCCCCAGAGUCGGACAUGACUAGACUUAAUGUCAGGAGAAAACCUUUACCUAUAGACAAAAUAUCGAGUUCACUAUUAUCUACGGUAUCAGGAAUGGAGCACAUUGAAAGGAUCCUUUUUCCACAAUAAAUGUAUAAGGCUAUCUGCUCAUAAAUCAAAAACACAAUAAUUAUUAAAAAUGAAAGUGGUGGCAGCAAAGUUACACAGCAUUAACUGCCAUGGCUCAAUGCGAUGGAAUUCUGGAGUUUAUAGUUUUGUGAGAUAAUUAUCCUUCUAUGUCAGAGAGCGCUGGCACCACAUCAGACUACAGGACUCCAUGGGAUUAUCUGUGGCAAUUAAAGUGGCUGUAAUUCUGCAGUGUGGAUGGGACUGAUGGAGCUUUCCAAUGACCUUGUAUCCCAUAAACAAAAUCAUUUUCCACUAAGCUAGUUUUCAAUAUUCAGCCAUGUGUCAUUGUGGGAUGGUGAAUUCACUCAAGUUAUAAACAUGCAUGAAUGAAUCAGCACUAUUCUGGCAUAGCUCAGAAAGGGAGAAAGGUGCAGAGAGAAAGAGAAAGGAGUAAAAAAAAUUCCAAGACCAUUUGUGGGAUCAUAAACUGUCAAAGUGCUCAGCUCAAGCACAAACUGCCAAAGCAGGAGCAGUUGCUGAAAAGAUCAUAAAAAGUCAAAUCAAUGUCACUCCUCCAAUCUGCUUUCCCUUCAGAUUCCCCAGGUUGGUCUUACAUCAUUUCCACAGCAUCUUUCAGUUCUGUUUUCUUCACCUUUUUUCUCUCAGAAAUGCCAUAGGCUAUGAAUAAUCUGAAACAAGUGACAGCGCUUUCUGUCACUUCCUCAAACAGAGUACCUUUCUAACACUGUAUUUGAAAAUGUCUGCUAGUAGAAUAUUUUCAAUCUGUUUUUCAAUGUAAGAAGAGAGGAAGUGUUGGUGGAUGUGGCAAGAAAGAACAAUGCUAAAACAUAAUCCUUUCAUUCAAAUGGCUUGUUGAUUCUCUGGUGUUCACAGAGGGUGGUAUGAGGCUUUAACUUGCUUUAGGGAAGUUGCCAUUUUCUGUUCUUCCUGCCAUUUUCAUUCCACUCCACUGAUAAACACUGGAAACAACCAGGAGAGUAUUGUUCUACGUCUAACUGUUUCCCUAGAUAAUAUAGGUCAGGGGUCCUCAAACUUUUUAAACCGAGGGCCGGUCCACAAUCCUUCAGACUGUUGAGGGGCUGGAUUAUCAUUUGAA